CCUUAAAACACAAAGUCAGUGUUUAUGAACUGACAGUUCAAAAACAAAAUAAUAAAAAUUAACUCAAGUGAAACGGGACGCGUCACUGUUCCCACCGCCUUACUCCAUAGAUCUAUAACAUCUUUGACGGCGUCUGCAGUACAAGGCACGGAGCAUUCCCUCAACGAACAUGGUGUUUCGAUUUUUAUAUCUUGAAAUGUUUGAAACCAGAGACCCAUGUGUGUGUCUUAGAGAGGGGAAAAUAUCCUUGAGGUCUCUCUGUCCUCUCUCGAAUUCAAGCUCGCCCAUCUCAGCGGAUCAUAGGGCAGAAAUAGUGGAUUAAGCGAAGGCAAGGGGCUGAGGUUGUAGAAUCUGCGAGGGUCUGAGAGGGAGCAGAAAGAGGUCCAUCUCACCGCCGACCUUGCCGUUGUGUCAGUACAAGAUCAUGUUUCUUCUUCUUGUGUUUUUUUCCGCCUAACCAUUCAAGUUUUUUCUUAAGCUGGGAUUCGGUGAGAGAUGAAAAAACGUCAGGGAGUAGGAUAUUACCAUGGCUCUAGUAAAUUGAAUCCCAAUUUCGUUGGCCGGUAAAAAAGUAUGAUUAAAAACAUUCGCUCGCAUGCAACAAUGAGAAUAUACAAAAUGCAGUCUCUGGAAAA